UGGGGAAUAUUGCACAAUGGGCGCAAGCCUGAUGCAGCCAUGCCGCGUGUAUGAAGAAGGCCUUCGGGUUGUAAAGUACUUUCAGCGGGGAGGAAGGGAGUAAAGUUAAUACCUUUGCUCAUUGACGUUACCCGCAGAAGAAGCACCGGCUAACUCCGUGCCAGCAGCCGCGGUAAUACGGAGGGUGCAAGCGUUAAUCGGAAUUACUGGGCGUAAAGCGCACGCAGGCGGUUUGUUAAGUCAGAUGUGAACUCCCCGGGCUCAACCUGGGAACUGCAUCUGAUACUGGCAAGCUUGAGUCUCGUAGAGGGGGGUAGAAUUCCAGGUGUAGCGGUGAAAUGCGUAGAGAUCUGGAGGAAUACCGGUGGCGAAGGCGGCCCCCUGGACGAAGACUGACGCUCAGGUGCGAAAGCGUGGGGAGCAAACAGG
rnacentral:rRNA from 1 species